rnacentral:rRNA from 1 species
UACAGAGGUCUCAAGCGUUGUUCGGAUUCAUUGGGCGUAAAGGGUGCGUAGGUGGUCGCGGUAAGUCGGGUGUGAAAUUUCGGAGCUUAACUCCGAAACUGCAUUCGAUACUGCCGUGCUUGAGGACUGGAGAGGAGACUGGAAUUUACGGUGUAGCAGUGAAAUGCGUAGAGAUCGUAAGGAAGACCAGUGGCGAAGGCGGGUCUCUGGACAGUUCCUGACACUGAGGCACGAAGACCAGGGGAGCAAACGGG